CGGGGCGUGGUCAAGGCGGCGGCCCCUAGAGGGGGAGAGGGUCUGUGUGCACGUGGACCCGUCCUGGAGCGGCGAGAAUCCGGAGUUUCCAGGGAAGUGAAGCAGCAAAAGCAGACUUUCACCUCUUUUUUGAGUCUCCGUGCCUCUGUGUAGUCUUACAACACUGUCCUCCCAUGCUGCCAGCUGAUAAAUGGAAUAUUGCCUGCCGUAUCAGUAAACAGAGAAUGUCAGUCAUCAGCGAUUGCAGCCACAGCUGAUGGUGAGCUGGUGAGCCUUGAGGAAACUCAGGAUAUUAAAACACAGGAUGCUGGCCCCAGAUAGCUGAGGUGCGUAUCAAAGGAAUGAUUUCGGGGCUGGAACGACUCGCCAGCACCUUUGUGCUCAAAGGAACUUCCCUGGAGCCCAGAUGUAUGACUAAGGAAGGAUGGCGAAUAGACAGUCACUCACUCAUUCUGGAUUUACUGAGUACCCACCGCGUGCCAGACUAUGCGCUAAGUGCUGAGGUUUAUGACUGUAAACAAAGCAGCCACGGGCCCUGCCCUCGUGGAGUCACAGGCCAGUGAGAAGGACGGAUACUGAACAAAUGGACACAAACUUAUUUACGCAACUACAAGUUGAGAUGUGUACUAUGAAAGAAAAGAGCAGGGUGUCUGACAGAGAAUGACUGGGGUACCUGAUUUUGGAAGAAGAUCUACAAGGCCUCUGAGAGAAAAGGCCGUCUAUGCUGAGACGUGCCGUCAGCCAGGCAAAGAAGAGGAGGAAGAGUGUUUGAAGCAGUGGAUCCUCAGGCAGAGGUCCUGAAGCAGCAAAGAGCUUGGUGCAUUCCAGGGACUUCAGACAAACCAACCAACAACAAGUGAGUAAAAGUAGAGGAGACUGGAGAAAUGAGGGUCCAGGAAGGGCCUUGUAAACUCUAUCAGACAAGAUCCCAGAGGAAAUAGAUAGCACCCUCAAGCUGGGUAGAGAGUUUAAUA